UACGUAGGGGGCAAGCGUUGUCCGGAAUCAUUGGGCGUAAAGCGCGUGUAGGCGGUCCGGUAAGUCCGCUGUGAAAGUCGGGGGCUCAACCCUCGAAAGCCGGUGGAUACUGUCGGGCUCGAGUACGGAAGAGGCGAGUGGAAUUCCUGGUGUAGCGGUGAAAUGCGCAGAUAUCAGGAGGAACACCAAUGGCGAAGGCAGCUCGCUGGGACGUGACUGACGCUGAGACGCGAAAGCGUGGGGAGCAAACAGG
rnacentral:rRNA from 1 species